UACGGGGGGGAGCAAGCGUUGUUCGGAUUUACUGGGCGUAAAGGGCGCGUAGGCGGUCGUGACAAGUCACUUGUGAAAUCUCCGGGCUUAACUCGGAACGGUCAAGUGAUACUGUCGGACUAGAGUACAGAAGGGGCAACUGGAAUUCUCGGUGUAGAGGUGAAAUUCGUAGAUAUCGAGAGGAACACCGGUGGCGAAGGCGGCCUUCUGGACAGUGAACAUGACGCUGGAGAACGCGAAAGCGUGGGGAGCAAACAGG
rnacentral:rRNA from 1 species